UGCGGAAGGAUCAUUAAAGAGACGUUGCCCUUCGGGGUCGACCUCCCACCCUAUGUUUAUCAUACCUCUGUUGCUUUGGCAGGCCCGUCUUCGGACCACCGGCUCCGGCCGGUCCGUGCCUGCCAGAGGACCUAAAACUCUGUUUGUUAAUGCAGUCUGAGUACUAUAUAAUAGUUAAAACUUUCAACAACGGAUCUCUUGGUUCUGGCAUCGAUGAAGAACGCAGCGAAAUGCGAUAAGUAAUGUGAAUUGCAGAAUUCAGUGAAUCAUCGAAUCUUUGAACGCACAUUGCGCCCCCUGGUAUUCCGGGGGGCAUGCCUGUUCGAGCGUCAUUACAACCCUCAAGCUCUGCUUGGUAUUGGGCCCCGCCAGUUCUGGCGGGCCCUAAAGUCAGUGGCGGUGCCAUCCGGCUCCGAGCGUAGUAAUUCUUCUCGCUCUGGAGACCCGGUUGUGUGCUUGCCAACAACCCCCAAUUUUUUUAAGGUUGACCUCGGAUCAGGUAGGGAUACCCGCUGAACUUAAGCAUAUCAAUAAGCCGGAGGAAACAUUAAAGAGACGUUGCCCUUCGGGGUCGACUCCACCCUAUGUUUAUCAUACCUCUGUUGCUUUGGCAGGGCCGUCUUCGGACCACCGGCUCCGGCCGGUCCGUGCCUGCCA
rnacentral:rRNA from 1 species